UGGUGGAACGAUUUGUCUGGUUAAUUCCGAAAACGAACGAGACCUUAACCUAUUAAAUAUGUUAUGUGAUAUUGGUGUAAAAGCCAGGAUUAUUACAGAAGUUAAACUUCUUAAAGGGACUCUUCACAUUUAAGUGAAUGGAAGAUUAAGGCGAAAACA
rnacentral:rRNA from 1 species